AUUCAGAUGACGAGUCCCAAAUAUGACGAAAUGUGCGUCCUGGAU
rnacentral:hammerhead_ribozyme from 1 species